rnacentral:rRNA from 1 species
AACGAACGCUGGCGGCGCGCCUAAUACAUGCAAGUCGAGCGAGAAGGUGUAGCAAUACACUUGUAAAGCGGCGAACGGGUGAGGAAUACAUGGGUAAUCUACCAUCGAGUGGGGAAUAACCAACCGAAAGGUUGGCUAAUACCGCGUACGCCUCCGAGUCUUCGGGUUCGGAGGGAAAGCUGCACUGUGAGUGUAGCGCUCUUUGAUGAGCUCAUGUCCUAUCAGCUUGUUGGUAGGGUAACGGCCUACCAAGGCUUUGACGGGUAGCUGGUCUGAGAGGACGAUCAGCCACACUGGCACUGCGACACGGGCCAGACUCCUACGGGAGGCAGCAGUAAGGAAUAUUGCGCAAUGGGCGAAAGCCUGACGCAGCGACGCCGCUGGGGGAUGAAGGUCUUCGGAUUGUAAACCCCUUUCGGAGGGAAGAUGGAGCGAGCAAUCGUUCGGACGGUACCUCCAGAAGCAGCCACGGCCAAC